rnacentral:rRNA from 1 species
AUUGAACGCUGGCGGCAGGCCUAACACAUGCAAGUCGAGCGGAUGAAGGGAGCUUGCUCCUGGCUUCAGCGGCGGACGGGUGAGUGAUGCCUAGGAAUCUGCCUUGUAGUGGGGGAUAACGUCCGGACACGGGCGCUAAUACAGCAUACGUCCUGAUGGAGAAAGUGGGGGUUCUUAGGAGCUAGGGGUUUCAGAUGAGCCUAGGUGGGGUUAGCUAGUUGGUGGGGUAACGGCCUACCAAGGCGACGAUCCGUAACUGACCUGAGAGGAUGAUCAGUCACACUGGAACUGAGACACGGUCCAGACUCCUACGGGAGGCAGCAGUGGGGAAUAUUGGACAAUGGGCGAAAGCCUGAUCCAGCCAUGCCGCGUGUGUGAAGAAGGUCUUCGGAUUGUAAAGCACUUUAAGUUGGGAGGAAGGGCAGUAAGUUAAUACCUGGCUGUUUUGACGUUACCAACAGAAUAAGCACCGGCUAACUUCGUG